rnacentral:lncRNA from 1 species
CUUUUGUCUUUUUAGGGCUGCACCCACGGCAAAUGGAGAGUCCCAGGCUAAUCGGAGCUGUUGCCACUGGCCUACACCACAGCUCACAGUGAUGCCAGACCCUUAAUCCACUGCGCGAGGCCAGGGAUCGAACCCACAACCUCAUGGUUCCUAGUCAUAUUCGUUUCCUCUGCACCACAACGGGAACUCCACAUUUUUCAUUUUAAAAACAAUCUUAAACAUUUUUCCUAUUACAAAGUAAUGCCAUCGAGUGUCCCUUCAACUGUAAUGAGUCUCCAGGACAGGGAAAAUAGGCAACAACCUUCCACAGUGCUCUUACCCCAACAGUUAAGCAAUACUCACUCAUGUGUCCAUUCAAAUCCUUUCUCUCACAUUUAGAUCUACUGCUUUUUUCCCUUACCUCAGUUUGGGGCGGGUGGGAGUGAGGAGGGAAAAAGUAACUGCUCACGAAGACCCAAAGCAAAGCCCUCACCUGUUCUGAAUGAUCAUCACUUAUUGAACAGAAGUGGAAAGAUUAUUCAUGCUUCUGAGCAAGGAUCACUCUUACCAGGCAUUCUCCAGGCUUCUAAAUAAUCCAAACACUUUAUCGCAUUCUCUCUAGUAGGAAACUCAAGCUAGAAAGGAAAUGGUGAGACCCAUGUAGCAGUGUAAGCCUCAGAACCCACAGAUCUGAAGUCACUGAAGAGCUGGCUCAAUUCCAGCAAAGAGGGUCUGCUUGCUUGAAGCAAAGGGCCUCUGGAGACACAUCAUGGGGAAGAGCUUCAGGCAUCCAUGCAAGUCACCAAUUUACCAAACUAGGUGCCAGGAUGGCAACAAAAGAGAAUAUUUUUUAGGCAAAGCACCUCAUGCCAAGCUGACUCCUAGGGCACAAGGACCAAUAGUACCGUCAGUGAUCAUAUUGAAGCGCCUCACGUGGUUCUCAACCUCAACACCCCAAAUGACUGCAGGAGAAAUAAAAACAACCUCUGAGGAAUGCUCCCACCAGCUACCUAUUGAAGCCCUCUCCAGGAUGGUCCUGGGUCACAGUUAUUCAGCCCUCUCUGAAGCCACCUGGAGACCCACCAAGGCCACAGUGAGUAGCCAGCACUACAGCCCUGCACUCAAGGAGCAUACAGUUCUGCUGGGGAAAUAAAAGCCACAGACAUAGCGCAAUUAUACACAAAGUAGAGAAUAAACACUCAUGGCAUCACCAAGAAUCUACAGCUAUAGGCAGCCUGUAUCACAGACAAAAAGAAAGGAGGAUGCCAGUUAGCAGGAAAGCCUUGAGAACAAAAAGAGCCUACAGUAACAAAAGCCUUCCGUACUGCCUGGUCUGGUGCUUUCCACACUGUACCUCUCACUCUCUCUCUUCUGUUCUCUAUUUGGGGAUUUCCCCUAAGAUUUCAUUUGAAAUAGCGGUUCCCAAAAGAGGCUGAAAAAAGAGAUCACAGUUAAUGGGAAAAAAUGCAGGUUCCUACACACACACACACACACACACACACACACACACACCCUUCCCCACCCCUGGGUCAUAUCUGAAUCUCUAAAGCAGGACUUGGGAUGGUGUGUCCUUGCACAAAAUAUGUUUAAAAACACCUGCCUACGUGGGAAAAAGAAUGGAUAUAUGUGUGUGUAUACACACACACACACACACGUAUAUAUCUAAAAUAUUCCCUUUGCUGUACACUUGAACUAAUAUUGUAUGUCAACAAUAAAAAAUAAAAAUAAAAACCAAAAUACUUGCCUAAUCCAACUCUAUAAAUCAGGAAAUGAGACCCAAAAAGGUAAAGGGGCUCCCUCAAGGACACGCAGAAAAGAAACGGCCAGAGCCUUGGUUCCCAAAUCCAAGCUGCUGCUCUUUCAGCAAAACAGAAGCAGGGGAAACCUGGAGUGAGCCUGGGAAGUGUGUUAAGAUUUGGACCAGUGGAAGAGGCAGGGGGCAUCAAGGAUGCAAAUAAGAAACUGACACAUGAAGGCUACAUCCAAAAGGGGCCCAGCCAUGGAGUUCCUGUUGUGGCUCAGUGGUUAAAGAACCCAACUAGUAUCCAUGAGGACACAGGUUCAAUCCCUGGCCUCACUCAGUGGGUUAAGGAUCCAGUGUUGUUGUGAGCUAUGGUGUAGGUUGUAGACGCAGCUGGGAUCCAGCGUUGCUGCGGCGUAGGCUGGCAGCUACAGGUCCAAUUCAACCCCUAGCCUGGGAACUUCCAUACACUUCGGGUGUGGCCCUACCAAAAAAACAAAAAGACAAAAGGGGCCCAGCCAUGAUAUGAGGGUGUGUGGGGAAGCGGGGAUGCAGAAGGUGGCAGUGGCAGGUGGAGAGACCAGAUAAGCAGACCAGAUAAGCAGUUGUGGUCAGUGGUACCAGGCACUAGAGGAGAUGCUGCUGGAAGAGUGGCAAUG